rnacentral:rRNA from 1 species
UGCCAGACUCCUACGGGAGGCAGCAGUGGGGGAUAUUGCACAAUGGGGGGAACCCUGAUGCAGCGACGCCGCGUGGGUGAAGGAGUAUUUCGGUAUGUAAAGCCCUAUCGGCAGGGAAGAAGCAAGACGGUACCUGACUAAGAAGCCCCGGCUAACUACGUGCCAGCAGCCGCGGGAAUACGUAGGGGGCAAGCGUUAUCCGGAUUCACUGGGUGUAAAGGGAGCGUAGACGGCGGCGCAAGUCUGGAGUGAAAGCCCGGGGCCCAACCCCGGGACUGCUCUUGGAACUGCGUGGCUGGAGUGCAGGAGGGGCAGGCGGAAUUCCUGGUGUAGCGGUGAAAUGCGUAGAUAUCAGGAGGAACACCGGUGGCGAAGGCGGCCUGCUGGACUGCAACUGACGUUGAGGCCCGAAAGCGUGGGGAGCAAACAGGAUUAGAUACCCCUGUA